GCGACCUUUGUUCGGCUAAAUACUUUUGGAAAUAGUUUGGGCCUUGGGCCCGAGAAUAGCGUAAGGUUAGAGUCCAAAAUUUACUCUGGACACCCAACCGACGGGUAUGCUAGUGAACCUAGCCCAAUAAGUUAGUCAACCUUUGACCCAAACCUCUUCCUUGAUCCAAUAUGGUCCUUGUAGCUCAUAAUGACAUCUUUGCAUAAUUUUGAAAUAUACUUGUGCGUGCGUUUACGAUUUUCUUAUUUUACCUUUCUUAAUAAUUGGCGAAAUUUCUGCUCGCCUUACCCGAAGCUUACUCGUCAAGCAUCUCACCGACUUUCAAAAGCACAAUUUAUUUACUCCUUAUGUUUUUCAAACUCGAGCAAAACUCCGACAAAAACUUGCUUGCCAUUUCUCUAUCUAAAAAUAAGUUUUGUGAGACCCGAUCCUUAUUUGGCAUUGUCAACACCUUAUUCUUUUACCCCAAAUUUAUCUGCCCAAAGCUGAGCCUUCUCCUUCACACGCAAAACUCAGCUUUUCCUCUUUCCUUGUUCACGUCAGAGUUGGACAGAGAGAAAGGGAGCCUCGUUCAGCUCUUCCCCUCCACGUUUCCAUCAUGCAAAGGGCAACUCCUCCAAGAACAUCAUCUCAGACCUUCAAAAGAGAGAACCCAGGCCAUAAAUCGUCAUUCACCCUUCUCUUCUCACCUUUCCUCUCGUCCCUGGACACAUCAGUCCGUUUACGAGCCCAAAAACACCUAGUUAGAGACCUCCGAUGAAAAAACUUUCUUCAUCAAAGUUGUUCGCCUAUGUCUCCUCUAUCUAGCCUCCAAAUAUCAGCUCCAUCGGAAUUGAUUUGAGACCUGUACACCCCUCGAAGCGGAAGCUGUUCCGGAGCAAGCCUGUUCCGGAUUUCUGCUUAAACUUCCUCUCUUGCUCUACCCGAAUCCCCAACACCUUGCUUGAGACUGAUACCAACAGUUGUCUCUGUUUCACUUUGCAUGUUCGAGAUUGAGCAAACUUCUUGGCCUGUGGCUGGACUCGAUCCAAUCAGCUCCUUCAGCUCUCUUUCCUGUUGAAAUCCUCAAGAGAAGCUCAUCUUUUUUUGUUAGUUUUUGGAUCUUGUGAAGUGGUGGUUGCUACAAGGUUGCAUUGAGGCCAAGUGCUGCAAGAGAAAGCUCGAGUUCCAGGAGAGGUCAGUUCCUCCUUGAGCCACCGGUGGUGGGCAGUGUGCACCAUGCCCUUGUUAUCUCCCCUUUGUCUCUAGCCUUGUGAUUAAUGAAUUCCGGAAAGUGAUUGGCUAGAUGGACGGUUGUGAUGGAAGUGUGAAAGAUGAUCAAUUGCCGUGGGAUUGUAGUUACGUGGUGACGAUCACGUGGAAGCGCAAACCGGUUUUAUCUACUUCUUUUAUUCAAAACAAUAACUCAUGUUUUUAAACUUAGAUAUGGGGGCGGGCAUGGGCAAUGACUGGAUGUAGGAGCCUAACCCCUACUUUAGUUUGUUUUGCAGGCUGUUGUUGUUGAAGCUUGGGCACGGAGGAUAAUCCUUGGAGGACACAAUUUGUUUUACUAUAUUUAAAGUUUAUUUCCUUUCGGCUUGCUUGAUUUCACUAAAGUUUUGUAACA